rnacentral:rRNA from 1 species
AGUUUGAUCAUGGCUCAGAUUGAGCACGCUGGCAGGAUGCUUUACACAUGCAAGUCGAACGGCAGCACGGACUUCGUCUGGUGGCGAGUGGCGAACGGGUGAGUAAUGUAUCGGAACGUGCCUAGUAGCGGGGGAUAACUACGCGAAAGCGUAACUAAUACCGCAUACGCCCUUCGGGGGAAAGCAAGGGGACCUUCGGGCCUCGCACUAUUAGAGCGGCCGAUAUCCGGAUUAGCUAGUUGGUGGGAGUAACGGCUCACCAAGGCGACGAUCCGUAGCUGGUUUGAGAGGACGACCAACCACACUGGGACUGAGACGGCCCAGACUCCUACGAAGGAGGCAACGGUGGGGAAUUUUGGACAAUGGAAACACAGUCAGCCAUCCCGCGUGUGCGAUGAAGGCCUUCGGGUUGUAAAGCACUUUUGGCAGGAAAGAAACGGCACGGGAUAAUACCCCGUGCAACUGACGGCUGCCUGCAGAAUAAGCACCGGCUAACUACCAGUACCCAGCGAAAGCCGCGGUAAUACGUAGGGUGCAAGCGUUAAUCGGAAUUACUGGGCGUAAAGCGUGCGCAGGCGGUUCGGAAAGAAAGAUGUGAAAUCCGAGCUUAACUUUGGAACUGCAUUUUUUAACUACCGAGCUAGAGUGUGUCAGAGGGAGGUGGAAUUCCGCGUGUAGCAGUGAAAUGCGUAGAUAUGCGGAGGAACACCGAUGGCGAAGGCAGCGCCUCACCGGGAUAACACUGACGCUCAUGCGAAAGCGAUAGAGGGCAAACGCGUUAAGCUCACCCUGGUAGUCCACGCCCUAAACGAUGUCAACUAGCUGUUGGGGCCUUCGGCCUUGGUAGCGCAGCUAACGCGUGAAGUUGACCGCCUGGGAAGUACGGUCGCAAGAUUAAAACUCGAGAGUGUGACGAGGACCACCUGACGGUGAGGAUGAUGUGGAUUAAUUCGAUGCAACGCGAAAAACCUUACCUACCCUUGACAUGUCUGGAAUCCCGAAGAGAUUUGGGAGUGCUUUCGCAAGAGAACCGGAACACAGAGCCUGCACAUGACAUCGUCAGCUCGUGUCGUAGAUGUUGGUUCAAGUCCCGCAACGAGCGCAACCCUUGUCAUUAGUUGCUACGAAAGGGCACUCUAAUGAGACUGCCAAGUGAUGAGCCGGAGGGAAGGUGGGGAUGACGUCAAGUCCUCAUGGUAUGCACUGUGGGUGCAGGGCUUCACACGCGUCGCACCACAAUGGUCAGGACAGAGGGGUCGCCAACCCGCGAGAGAUAAUCCCGAAACCCGAUCGUAGUCCGGAUCGCAGUCUGCAGCAACUCGACUGCGUGAAGUCAGAAUCGCUGUAAUCACGCAGAUCAGCGGCAUGUCGCGGUGAAUACGUUCCAGGUCUUGUACCUGCGCCCGUCACACCAUGGAGUGGUUUUACACCGAAGUAGUUAUAAGCCUAACCCGUAAGGCGAUUACAGUAGGAUUCAUGACUGGGGUGAAGUCGUAACAAGGUAG